AGAGUUUGAUUCUGGCUCAGAACGAACGCUGGUAGCGUGGAUUAGGCAUGCAAGUCGGACGGGAUCCGGAAGGUAGCAAUAUCGGCCGGUGAGAGUGGCGGAAGGGCGAGGAACACGUGGGCAACCUGUCACGGAGGUGGGGAAAACCGCUGGAAACGGCGGCUAAUACCGAAUGCGGCGCCCGUCGGCAUCGACGGAGCGCCAAAGGGGGCGAAAGCUCCCCCUCCCCGAGGGGCCCGCGCACCAUCAGCCUGCUGGCGGGGUAACGGCCCACCAGGGCUUACGGUUAGCUGGUCUGAGAGGAUGGCCAGCCGCACUGGGACUGAGAUACUGCCCAGACUCCUACGGGAGGCUGCAGUCGAGGAUCAUUUGCAAUGGGCGAAAGCCUGACAAUGCGACGCUGCGUGGAGGAUGAAGGCCUUCGGGUUGUAAACUCCUGUCAUGGGGGAACAGGCGAGGGGACCCAACACGUCCCUCAGUUGAGUGUACCCCAAGAGGAAGCGACGGCUAACUCUGUGCCAGCAGCCGCGGUAAUACAGAGGUCGCGAGCGUUGUUCGGAUUUACUGGGCGUAAAGGGCGCGUAGGCGGCGGAGCGUGUCGGAUGUGAAAUCCCCGGGCCCAACCCGGGAAGUGCGUCCGAAACUGCCCCGCUGGAGGACGGAAGAGGGAAUCGGAAUAUAGGGUGUAGCGGUGAAAUGCGUUGAUAUCCUAUAGAACACCGGAUGCGAAGGCGGAUUCCUGGUACGUAUCUGACGCUGAGGCGCGAAAGUCGGGGGAGCAAACAGGAUUAGAUACCCUGGUAGUCCCGACCUUAAACGGUGCACGCUCGGGGUGGGGGGACUUCAACCCCCCCGUCCCUCAGCUAACGCGUUAAGCGUGCCGCCUGGGGAGUACGGCCGCAAGGUUAAAACUCAAAGAAAUUGACGGGGGCCCGCACAAGCAGAGGAGCAUGUGGCUUAAUUCGAUGCAACGCGAAGAACCUUACCUGGGCU
rnacentral:rRNA from 1 species